rnacentral:rRNA from 1 species
AAGACUGCCYUAUGGGUUGUAAACUGCUUUUAUACAGGAAGAAACUUACCCACGUGUGGGUAACUGACGGUACUGUAUGAAUAAGRACCGGCUAACUCCGUGCCAGCAGCCGCGGUAAUACGGAGGGUCCAAGCGUUAUCCGGAAUCAUUGGGUUUAAAGGGUCCGUAGGCGGGCGAUUAAGUCAGAGGUGAAAUCCCACAGCUCAACUGUGGAACUGCCUUUGAUACUGGUUGUCUUGAGUUACAGUGAAGUAGAUAGAAUAUGUAGUGUAGCGGUGAAAUGCAUAGAUAUUACAUAGAAUACCGAUUGCGAAGGCAGUCUACUAACUGUUAACUGACGCUAARGGACGAAAGCGUGGGGAGCGAACAGGAUUAGAUACCCUGGUAGUCCACSCCGUAAACGAUGGUCACUAGUUGU